UAUGGCUCAGGAUGAACGCUAGCGGCAGGCUUAACACAUGCAAGUCGAGGGGCAUCGGGAGUAGCAAUACUGCCGGCGACCGGCGCAAGGGUGCGUAACGCGUGAGCAACAUGCCCGUAUCAGGGGGAUAAUCCAUGGAAACGUGGUCUAAUACCCCAUAGUAAUUAUGUAAGGCAUCUUAUAUAAUUUAAAGCUUUGGUGGAUACGGAUUGGCUCGCGUGACAUUAGCUAGAUGGUAAGGUAACGGCUUACCAUGGCUACGAUGUCUAGGGGUUCUGAGAGGAAGGUCCCCCCACACUGGAACUGAGACACGGUCCAGACUCCUACGGGAGGCAGCAGUGAGGAAUAUUGGACAAUGGAUGGAAGUCUGAUCCAGCCAUGCCGCGUGCAAGGAAGACGGCCCUAUGGGUUGUAAACUGCUUUUGUAUGGGAGCAAUAAGGGCUACGCGUAGUCCGAUGAGAGUACCAUACGAAUAAGCACCGGCUAACUCCGUGCCAGCCGCAGC
rnacentral:rRNA from 1 species